rnacentral:rRNA from 1 species
AUAAAAAAGAGCAAAAGAAGGGCGUAUGGGGGAUGCCUAGGGUCUCAGAGGCGAAGAAGGACGUGAUAAGCUGCGAUAAGCUACGGGGAGGAGCACACAUCCAUUAUAUCCGUAGAUUUCCGAAUGGGGCAACCCAGUUAGUUGAAGACUAACUAUUCAUACUAAGUAUGAAAGCGAACGUGGGGAACUGAAACAUCUAAGUACCCAUAGGAGAAUAAAACAACAGUGAUUCCGAGAGUAGUGGCGAGCGAAAUCGGAAGAGCCCAAACCUAAGAUGUUACGGCAUGUUAGGGGUUAUAGGACUGCAUUUAGAAGUACAAUUUAACUUGAAUGACUUGGGAAAGUCAACCAUAGAGUGUGAUAGUCACGUAAGGGUAAGGAUUGUAGGACGAGCAGUAUCCUGAGUAGGUGGGGGCCGGUGAAACCCCCUCUGAAUUCGGCAGCACCAUCUGCCAAGGCUAAAUACUACUGAGACACCGAUAGCGAACAAGUACUGUGAAGGAAAGGUGAAAAGCACGGAGAGUAUCCGGGUGAAAUAGAACCUGAAACCGUACGCCUACAAGCGGUCGGAGCCAUGCGAUAUGGUGACGGCGUGCCUUUUGCAUAAUGAUCCUACGAGUUACGGUCACCAGCAAGGUUAACUUUUUAAGAAAGGGAGCCGAAGCGAAAGCGAGUCUUAACAGGGCGUUAAGUUGGUGGCUGUAGACGCGAAACCUAGUGAUCUACCCAUGGUCAGGUUGAAGGUUGGGUAAGACCAACUGGAGGACCGUACCGGUAUACGUUGAAAAGUGUUCGGAUGAACUGUGGGUAGGGGUGAAAGGCUAAUCAAACUAGGAAAUAGCUCGUACUCCCCGAAAUGUAUUUAGGUACAGCGUUGUGGUUGAGUAUUAUAGAGGUAGAGCUACCGAUUGGAUGCGGGGGAGUCACAUCCUACCAAAUUCAGACGAACUCCGAAUGCUAUAAUAUAUACGCAGCAGUGAGGGCUCGGGUGCUAAGGUCCGAGUCCAAGAGGGAAAGAACCCAGAACUACAGCUAAGGUCUCCAAAUCUAUACUAAGUUGAACAAAGGAAGUCUGACUGCCGAGACAGCCAGGAUGUUUGCUUGGAAGCAGCAAUCAUUUAAAGAGUGCGUAACAGCUCACUGGUCGAGCGGGGCGGGCAUCGAUAAUAAGCGGGCAUAAAGUAUAGUACCGAAGCUUAGUCAAGAAAAUAUUCUUGGGUAGGGGAGCAUUCUGUCAUCAGUGAAGGUGUACUUUGAGGUAUGCUGGAGAGGACAGAAAAGCAAAUGUAGGAAUAAGUAGCGAUAAUGAAUGUGAGAACCAUUCACACCGAAAGACUAAGGAUUCCUCCGCUACGUCAAUCAACGGAGGGUAAGUCGGAUCCUAAGGAUAAUGCGAAAGCAGAAGCCGAUGGUAACCAGGUUAAAAUUCCUGGACCACUAAUAGUUUCGAAGCGGGGACGGAUUUUAAAGCUUCAUACGAACUGACGGAAUAGUUCGUUGAGAGGAGACUUCGGUCGAAUCGAAUGAGGGGAUAAGGUUCCAAGAAAAGCCGAUAAGUUAUGAUUAUUAGUGACCGUACCGCAAACCGACACAGGUAGUCGAGGCGAGAAGCCUAAGGUGCUCGAGUGAAUCACGGCUAAGGAACUAGGCAAAUUAACCCUGUAACUUCGGGAUAAAGGGAACCUGCAGCAAUGUAGGUCGCAGAGAAAUGGCCCAGGCGACUGUUUAACAAAAACACAUGGCUAUGCGAAGAUUAAUGUCGACGUAUAUGGCCUGACACCUGCCCGGUGCUGGAAGGUUAAGAGGGGAUGUCAUCGCAAGAGAAGCAUUGAAUCGAAGCCCCAGUAAACGGCGGCCGUAACUAUAACGGUCCUAAGGUAGCGAAAUUCCUUGUCGGGUAAGUUCCGACCUGCACGAAUGGUGUAACGAUCUGGGCACUGUCUCAGCCGUGAGCUCG